GUUCUCUUCGGCAGCACAUCCACUAAAAUGGGAAUGCCACAGAGAAGAUUAGUAUGGCCCCUGCACAAGGUUGACAUGCGGAGCUGUGAAGUGUUCAAAUUUUUC